rnacentral:rRNA from 1 species
GGAGUAUUGGACAAUGGGCGAAAGCCUGAUCCAGCCAUGCCGCGUGUGUGAAGAAGGUCUUCGGAUUGUAAAGCACUUUAAGUUGGGAGGAAGGGCAUUUACCUAAUACGUAAGUGUUUUGACGUUACCGACAGAAUAAGCACCGGCUAACUCUGUGCCAGCAGCCGCGGUAAU